rnacentral:lncRNA from 1 species
GUUCAAAUUGUGAGAUUUUAUCAACUUUUUUCCAGAAGACAAACUUUCAAAUGAUGUCAUGAAUCCUGACUCAAAUUACAUAUUCUCAAACAUUCUAGUAGAAGGGAUUAGAGAUUACAAUUACAAUACAAGUGAUGAUUUGCAUAAAAGGCAAUACCAUCCAUCAAGAGUUUCUCAGUAUCUUAGAGCAACCUUAUUCAAAAUUGAGAAUUGACAAACAAUGGAACCUCCAUUGACAAAUACACAAGGAAGCAAGCUGUCUAAGAGAGGCAUGAAUAAGCCAAAGCCUUCUCCUCAGAAAGCUCUUCUGCUGUCAAGUCCAAUUUUUUCCUUGAAAACUCAUCAAUUGAAAGUCCUGGAUAAAAAUUAGACAAAUUAAAUUAUAUCAGAUACAUACACAAAUCAAACCUUUAAUUGCUAUAUAAAACAACUAUUCCUUAAUUUUACAAAUAAAAGACAGCAAAUGUUAAGCAUGAAGUAUUAACACUUAAAACAAUGAUAUUAUGGUUAAAUAAAAUAAGAAUUCAAGAGCCAGUAAUAAUUUAUCAAAAUCUACCUUGAACUAUUUGCCAUUCGCCAUUGCGGGUUGUGACAGGGAAUGAAUAGAUUAGUCCAGCGGGUACAUUGUAAGAUCCAUCAGAAUAAACUCCCAUCGAAACCCAGGUUCCCUGAUGACAUUGCAAUGAAAAGAUAAACAUAAACAUUGGUUGAAGCCAUUCAAUAUAAAUAAUUUGAAUUAAAGAUUGACCAAGACAUAACCAACCUCAGGAGUUCCUAGAACCCAAUCUCUAAUGUGGUCACAAGCAGCGCUAGCGGCGGAUAGUGCACUUGAAAGCUUUCUAGCUUUAAUGAUUGCAGCGCCCCGUUGUUGGACGGUAGCUAUGAAUUCUCCAUUCAACCUUGACGAUGAAAAUUACAUCAAUACUUCAGUAAAUGCAAAAUGGAAAAAAAAGAAAGUAAUAGAUAUGUAAAAAAAGUUUAAAUUGUGAGUCAUGGUAUUUGUCCAUCAACAUACCAGGCAUCAUCAGCUACGAGUUCACGGACAGGCUUUUCUGCAGAAGAGAUUUUAACAGUUGCGUGGUUGACAUCAGGGUACUGACUUGACGAAUGGUUGCCCCAAAUUAUAACAUUUUUCACAUUAGAAACCUCAACGUUCAGUCUUUCAGAAAUUUGACCCAGUGCCCUGUUAUGGUCCAAUCUUGUCAAACAAGAAAUGUUUUUCUCAGGAAUGGAUGGAGCAAAUUCCUUCAAGAUCAAUGCAUUGGUGUUUGCUGGGUUGGCAACAACAAGAACCUGCAUGAUGAUACCGAGUUUAAAGAAAUGUAAAUAUUUCUGGAAUAUGUAAAAAGGACAACUCAUUUUCUGAAGAAAAGAAUCACAAGGGAUUUGCCAUACAUGACCAAAAUACACAUAUGAACUAGGUGGAACCUUUCAAACAAAAAGCCAACUUAUUUAGUGAAAUUUCAACCUCUAUCUAGUACAAGAUCAAAUCAACAGAAUCCCUAUGGAUUGUCCAAAUGCAUUCAAACCCAAAUCUCUUUUUCAUUAGCAUUAAACUAAAAUAAAUUCAGUACAGGCAAUGUAUUGGCUUUACAUCUAUCACCAGCACACGAAAACCAUGACAAUAAUAGCGUUCAAUCAAUCGAUCACCCAACAACUUAAUUAAACGUUUAUAAGCUAUUUCUAUAAGAAUCAAUAACAUAAAGUCAAAUUGUUUUCAUAUAAACUAUGAACUGUUUUCAUAAGCUACCCUGUAAAGCUUAUGGAAAUAAGCUGAAAACAUCUCAUGAACAUGUCAUGAGCUGUUUCCAUAAGUUUUCCCAAGCAGUCUCACAAGUGUUUAUGGUAGUAGAUAAGUUCAAAUAAGUCAAUCCAAACAGGUCUGAAAGAGAUGCAUGAAAAAGGGGGAGGAGGAACAUAGAACGGAACAUAUUUUUUUUACAUAAAAUGCGACAGAACUAGAAAUUGAAAUUAAUUAAGAGAAAAGCUUGAGGAUUCAGAAUUAAAGGAUCACCUUGCAGUUUGCAGCAGCAUGUUUCUCAAGAGCAGAAGCUUGGGACUUGUAAAUAGAGACAUUUUUUGUCAUCACAUCUUUCCUCUCCAUACCUUCUUUUCUAGGGAAACCACCAACCAUAACAGCAAUAUUGACUCCAGUGCAUCCCUCAACCACAUCAGUUGUAGCAACAACACCUGAAACAAAUAAUUUUCAUAGUACCUUUUAAUCUUGUGAAGCAUUAAAUCAACCAACACAAACCAACUUCAAACCAGAAAUAUCGCUGUCAAAGAAGUUCAUGUAACAUUUAACAAAGAGUAAAACUCAAACCUUUAAGUAGAGGGAAUGCAGCAUCCACCAACUCCAUUUUAACACCGUUCAAUGAUUCGGCUGCAGGUGGGAUGUCGAGCAUGUGGAGGAUCACAGGCUGGUCAGGGCCGAGCAUCACUCCCCUAGCAAUCAUUGGGACAAGAGCAUAUCCAAUUUGUCCUAAAAUAGUAAAAUUGGCAAAACAUUUUUCAGUACACCAAACAUACCUCUAAGAUUUUAUGUUGAAAUAAAAAAAUUGCUUUUGUGAAAACAAAUAAACAACAUUUUGGCCUUAUUUGGAUAAUCAACUUCAAUAAACAUUUAUAGCAUAAAUGCUUAAAAUAUAAGUGUUUAUGUGUAAUCUAUUUCUAUAUAAAAAAUUAAAACAAAUUGUGUUCAUAUAUACUACAAGCUUUUUUCAUAAGUUAUCCUACAGAGGUUAUGGAAAUAAGCUGAAAACAACUUAUAGAUAUGUCAUAUGUUAUUUCUAUAAACUCUCAGAAAUAGGGAAACACUACAAUUAAGGUAUACUAUCAGAAAAUUGCAUAUUGAUAAGGGAUCUAUUUUUAACAAAUGAAAGUAGAUGCAUAUAAAUUAUUUAAAAAUAUAUGAACUGGUUGCAAAUACUAAUUUUUUAUUUUCUUAAUUGAUCAUAGAGUAAGCACAUAACAAGAUAAAUCAAACAUAGUUCUAUUUCUAAAUAAAACCAAUCAAGAAACAUGAUACUAGGAUUAGAUCAGAUCUGAUAUAAAAAUCAUAAGAUAAUUAAAGAUCCUUAAACAAAACAAAAGAAAAGACAUAAUUUUGAGAGAAACCAAUAAAAAAAAGAUGGUUACCUGCAGCACCAGUGACAAGAACACGAACAGGGUCUUUAGCCAUUGUUUUUUUGGAUCAAAGAUAGAGUUUGUUUGAAGAAAACAAG